UGCCCUUUGUCCCCUCAACCCUCUAUGGUGUGACCCCACACAUGACAUCCCACCCCCACACCCAUCUCCCCCAUCCCUGUCCCCCCACACCAGCUGCCAGACCCUCCCUGUGCCCUCAGCCCUGUCUCUGUCCCCACAGUGCCCGUGGCCAAUGCCACCAUCAUCCCCAGUCCCCUGGCACACCAGGUGCACCCAGGUGACAACGUGACGCUGCACUGCUCAGUGCAGGUGGGCUCAGCCCCUGUCACCUUCACCUGGCUGUGGAACGGGCAGGAGGUGGCCCGGGGUCCCCUCCUGGAGCUCAGGGACAUCGAUGUGGGACAUUCGGGCACCUACCAGUGCGUGGCCACCAACCAGCUGGGACAGGACGGGCACCGCGUGUUCCGGGCAUUCAGCCCUGAGCUGGCACUGACAGUGAAAGCAUGGGGACACAGGGACAAAGGUGGGGUCACAUGGGGUCCCCGGGGUGUUCAGGACCCCCGAAAUAAUGGGUGACCCCAUUGUGUCCCCCUCUAUCUCUUGCAGUGGCCGCAGGGGUCGGUUGGGCCCUUUUGUUCCUGCUCCUGCUCGUGGGUGUCAUUGUGGCCUGGCACCGGUGGCACCUCCUGGCGGCCAGGAAGAACCAGGAAAGGGCCCCCCCGGAUCCCCCGGACCCCCCAGAGGAGGGGCAGGUGCUGUACACCCACGUCGUGGUCACCAAGAGGGCAGGGGUGUCCCCCCGUGCCACCACCCUCCAGGAUCCCCAGGUGACCUACGCCGAGCUGAGGG